rnacentral:rRNA from 1 species
AUUGAACGCUGGCGGCAGGCCUAACACAUGCAAGUCGAACGGUAGCACAGAGAGCUUGCUCUCGGGUGACGAGUGGCGGACGGGUGAGUAAUGUCUGGGAAACUGCCCGAUGGAGGGGGAUAACUACUGGAAACGGUAGCUAAUACCGCAUAACGUCGCAAGACCAAAGUGGGGGACCUUCGGGCCUCACACCAUCGGAUGUGCCCGGAUGGGAUUAGCUAGUAGGUGGGGUAAUGGCUCACCUAGGCGACGAUCCCUAGCUGGUCUGAGAGGAUGAACAGCCCAAAUGGAACGGAGACACGGGCCAGACGCCGACGGGGGGCAGCAGUGGGGAAUAUUGCACAAUGGGCGCAAGCCUGAUGCAGCCAUGCCGCGUGUAUGAAGAAGGCCUUCGGGUUGUAAAGUACUUUCAGCGGGGGGGAAGGCGGUGAAGUUAAUAGCUUCACCGAUUGACGUUACCCGCAGAAGAAGCACCGGCUAACUCCGUGCCAGCAGCCGCCGUAA